CCAAGGAGUCUAACACGUGCGCAAGUCGUCAGGUCGUCCUCCUAAAAAGUCGACGAAACCUGAGCGGCGCAAUGAAAGUGAAGGUUUCGUCCGUUCCUCUUUUGCUUCUUAGCUUUUACCUUUUUUCCUCGCAAGGGGAAUCUUGGGCGGCGGAAGGACUGGAGGGCGGCGAACCGAGGCGGGAUCCGGUGCAAUCCCCCAUUCCAUCCAUCGCACGAAAACUGCGGUGGCAAUGGUUUGAGAUACGACAUUGAUUAAAAGCCAGGGCGAAAAGAUGCGGAGGCCGCCGGGGGCGUUGCGAUCGGCCGUCAAAAAGUCGGUCCUUCACCCCUCGGCCCGAGCUCUCGAGCCCUCGGCCGGCGCACCGCCGGCCCGUCUCAAAGCCGCAGCGAAACGGCGAGGCGGAGCCAGAGCGUACACGUUGGGACCCGAAAGAUGGUGAACUAUGCUCGGGCAGGACGAAGCCAGAGGAAACUCUGGUGGAGGUCCGUAGCGAUUCUGACGUGCAAAUCGAUCGUCGGACCUGAGUAUAGGGGCGAAAGACUAAUCGAACCGUCUAG
rnacentral:rRNA from 1 species